rnacentral:rRNA from 1 species
GAUGAACGCUAGCUACAGGCUUAACACAUGCAAGUCGAGGGACCGGCGCACGGGUGAGUAACACGUAUCCAACCUGCCCUUUACUCGGGGAUAGCCUUUCGAAAGAAAGAUUAAUACCCGAUAUAAAGGAUGGGGAUGCGUUCCAUUAGGUUGUGGGUAAGGUAACGGCUCACCAAGCCUUCGAUGGAUAGGGGUUCUGAGAGGAAGGUCCCCCACAUUGGAACUGAGGCGCGGUCCAAACACCUACGGGAGGCAGCAGUGAGGAAUAUUGGUCGAUGGGCGCUAGCCUGAACCAGCCGAGUAGCGUGAAGGAUGAAGGCUUAUGGGACGUAAACUUCUUUUGUAUAAGAAUAUGUAUUAUAUGAAUAAGGAUCGGCUAACGCCGUGCCAGCAGCCGCGGUAAUUC